rnacentral:rRNA from 1 species
AGCAGCCGCGGUAAUUCCAGCUCCAAUAGCGUAUAUUAAAGUUGUUGCAGUUAAAAAGCUCGUAGUUGAAUUUCGAGAUCAAAUUGUUGGUCGUGCCUCGGUACGUACUGGCAUUAUUGAUUUCUCCCUUCUGAAGAACCACGAUGUCAUUAAUUUGGUGUCGUGGGGAAUUCAGGACCGUUACUUUGAAAAAAUUAGAGUGUUUAAAGCAGGCUCACGCUUGAAUACAUUAGCAUGGAAUAAUGAAAUAGGACGUUUGAUUCUAUUUUGUUGGUUUCUAGGAUCGACGUAAUGAUUAAUAGGGAUAGUUGGGGGCAUUAGUAUUCAAUUGUCAGAGGUGAAAUUCUUGGAUUUAUUGAAGACUAACUACUGACGAAAGCAUUUGCCAAGGAUGUUUUCAUUAAUCAAGAACGAAAGUUAGGGGAUCGAAGACGAUCAGAUACCGUCGUAGUCUUAACCAUAAACUAUGCCGACUAGGGAUCGGAU